ensembl:lncRNA
CACGGAUGAGUUGAUACUAGCAAGUUGAAAGGAGCUACCCCAGAGCUGAGGACAAUGAGACUAUAAGAAACAAUGUCUUGGUUCACAGGACUGUGAUGGAAAAUAAUGUCUCUGCCUUGAUGCUUGGCAGGAUCAGUGAGACCCCAGUUGUUCACAUUACCAGAAACUCAACUUUUCGGUCAUUGAGGCUGUUACAGUUUACACAGUAGUUUGGAAAGAGAGAAGCUUCAAAGGUAAGAGACUUGGCUUUGUGCUUUUCUCAAAUGUUGUCUCCUUACAUCAUGUUGACUUCUUUAAGUUUCAGAUCUUUAUUUAUGACACUACAACCACCAUAGUUGUUAACAUAUACAAGUGAUAAAUACAUGAAUACAUUGUUCUGAGAAAUUUACAUUUUUAAUUCAUUUAAUCCUCAUAUUAGUCUAUGAGAUAGAUACUAUAAUUAUUCACAUUUUACAGAUGGGGAAAUUGAGGCAUAUGGAAGAAUAAGUUAAUAGAAUCAAAUAGCUAGUAUAUAGUGGGGCUAAAACUUAUACCCAGGCUGUUUGACCUUACUUAACAUAACAAAUUUAUUUUAAAUAGUAUAUUGUAGUAAUAUUUAAUUCAUAGUGUUAUCCUUCAUAUCAAAUAAGGUAAAAUAUGCAAAAUAUUCAUUGCUGGCAAGAUAUUUCUUAAAUAUGUUUUAUUUAUUAAAAAUAUUAGUUGUUACUCUGCACAACAGAUUUUCCUGAAUGAAAUCUCAUUUUAAACAUGAUUACUAUAUUUAAAGGUUUACACAUAUUUGCAUAAAGAUUGUAAAAAUCACAUACUUAAAUGUAUAUUUCAUUUCUACCCAUAUGCAAAAUUGUGAUAUGUGUCCUGUUUAAAAGAUAGUUUAAAGUCAUUAGACAGUUUAAAGGACAGUUUAAAGUCAUUAGAAUCCAUCUGUGAAUCAGUAUGCAAUAUGUAGGUUAAGGCAAAUAAUUGUGCUAUACUUGCAAGUAACCAAUGUAGAUUUGUCAUGAUCCAAACAAUCUAAAUGUAAGCUAAUAAUAUAAAUGUUAAAUUCAAUGUUUAAGCUACUUUUCAUAAGUAGGCAGUAAUUUAAUUUUUAUCGUUCUGAUUUUCUUCUUUCUAAAUGUAUUUGACACAUUGGAAGUUUUAUUUGGCUUAAAUGUAUCUCUGAAUUUCCUAUGAUCAAAAAGUGAGAGCUUAUCAAAAAUGUCCAUUUUAUCUAUUCUCUAAAAAAAAGUGACACUCAGCAGAAGGAAGAUACAUAUGACAAUCAUAGGUGCAUGUAUAUUUUUCAAUAUCAAG